rnacentral:rRNA from 1 species
AUGGACGUGGCCGACUCUCCGGACGCCAUCUCCUGGCGCCUAGAUCCCUCCGGCCGCUUCUCCACUAAAUCCCUCUACGCGGCUAUUGUCCCCUCGUCAGCCCCGGAGCCCUUCGGUCUGAUCUGGGACAUCCGCCUCCCCCUAAAGAUUCGGAUCUUUCUUUGGCAAUGGAUCCGCGGCCGCCUCCCGACCGGCGUUGAGGUUCUUAAGCGCCAUGGUCCUGGCAAUGGAAUGUGCCCCCUGUGUGGCACGGUAGAGGACGCUAAUCACAUCUUCUUCUCUUGCUACACGGCACAGUUCCUUUGGUCUUGUUUCCGCGAAACGGUUGGGGGACAGUGGUGCAACACCAACUUCCCUGACUUGCUUGCGGAAAUUCAAGCCUCCCCCCUCGCUACAGACAUAUUAGAUGGCUGUGCGUCGGGGUUCUCGCCUGGACGCUGUGGACGGUUCGCAAUAAGCUUGUCAUUCAGAAGGUGCCUCUUCGGCGUGCUACUGACUCCAUCUUUAAAAUGUGUGGUUACUUGCAGCUCUGGCGGCCGCUUAGCCGCCCUCAGGACCGGGACGCCAUCAACAGACUCCUCACCGACCUCCGUUCGUUGGCCUUCCGCCUGGCGCCUCCGCUCCCGCCGCCACCCCCGGAGCCCGACUAGAGGAUGUGUCCCUCCUGGCGCGUGUGCCUUUUUGUGUGUGUGUGUGUUGGGCUUGUUGAGCUGUGCCCUCAGCAGUAACACUUGA